GAUGAACGCUGGCGGCGUGCCUAAUACAUGCAAGUCGAGCGAACGGACGAGAAGCUUGCUUCUCUGAUGUUAGCGGCGGACGGGUGAGUAACACGUGGAUAACCUACCUAUAAGACUGGGAUAACUUCGGGAAACCGGAGCUAAUACCGGAUGAUAUUUUGAACCGCAUGGUUCAAAAGUGAAAGACGGUCUUGCUGUCACUUAUAGAUGGAUCCGCGCUGCAUUAGCUAGUUGGUAAGGUAACGGCUUACCAAGGCAACGAUGCAUAGCCGACCUGAGAGGGUGUCCGCCCCCACAGGACCGGAGACACGCCGCAGCGCCUACGGGGGGACACAGGAGGGGAAUCUCCUGAAUUGGGGGAAGGCUUGCGGGGCAACGGCGCCGGGGGUGAUAUGGGCCUCGGGUGGUUAAACUCUGUUAUUAGGGAAGAACAUAUGUGUAAGUAACUGUGCACAUCUUGACGGUACCUAAUCAGAAAGCCACGGCUAACUACGUG
rnacentral:rRNA from 1 species